CCCACUCUCGCCUCCAGCAAAUCGAUUCCCGCCAAGGCUCCAGCAAAUCAAUUCCCCGCCAAGGCGCAACCUCGCUGACUUCACCACCACAUCCAUAUGCUCUGUAUGAAAUUUCUCUAGCGUGUACGUCACACACCGCGAUCUCCGUCAGCUCAUACCCGCCGUCCACGCCCCCAGUUCCUUCCAAUCACGUCAACAUCCAGAUUGCAGCUCCGCCAUCGUCUCCUUGCAAGCUUUGUCUUGGUUCGAAUUUUCUUGCUGCCUGUUGAGUCCAGGUUCAUGAGAGCUGGACAUCCUACUACAACCAGCUGACCAUAGUGCCACCGACGGAUUGACCACAAGUUGUGGCUGAAAAUACCUGGCUUAUAACAAUCAAGAAUCAAAGUCAUAACCGCUAGCCGUCCAGUAAAACCCAAUAGAUGGAAGGCCGAGUUCCUUUCAGAGAUAUUACAAAUGUUCACUCGACGACUUCACCAAAAGGGAAUCAACUAGUUGUGGUUGCAGAGCAGAAUGAUCCUUUAGCAGAAACCAAAAACGCUAUGCAAAUGAAUUCUUCCCAGCGUAAGCUUUACCGCGACCGGGAUAGGUAUUUGCAAAUGAUUCCAUAUCAGAGGGAAGCCUAUCUGCAAAGGAAUCGUGAGUAUAAAAGAAUGCGGCGUGAGUGCAGUGCAAGUUGUAACAACACACAACCAGCACCACAACAGA